GAAAAAUUAUGGAAUUAUCUUUUUGCUCCCAGAGAAGAUUGAAUAUUCUUUUCCUAAGGAAGAAUUAGGAGCAAAUCCUGUGUAAAUAGUUUAUUAGGCUUUGUGAUGUUUUAUUGAAUGUAAAUAUUAGGUGAUAGUUGAAGGGAAAUAUGUAAAAGGAAGGAAAAUGCAAAUUUGGAGAAUCUUUGGAUGUGCCUUUUUUCUUUUAAGCAUUGUAUAUAGAUAGGGUAGAUGCUUUUUCUUUGAUCAGUAUACCUCUAAUGAUAUGGCUGUUCUCUUAUAAGUCAUAUUUUUGAUGGAAUAGAUUUUGCUACUAUGCUGAUAGCAUGCUGGGUGGUCAGAGAUUUGAGGAUCACUUCUGACCAUGUUCAGAUCAGACACUCAUUCAGUCCAUUUGGCUCUUGGGAAUGUUAAAGUAUUCUAAGCAUCACUUUGGACCUUUUUGGAUGGCUUUGUUCAAAGAAAUUGUGGCAACAGGGCUUAAAAACUUGGACAGUGACCCACUGUGCCACCUGAUUUCUUAUUAUUCACUAGUUUUCCCCAGUCAGUGUGCCUCAGAAUGUUAUCCCACAGUGUGUUAUUCGUCUGAUAUAUGUGUGUCAGUUUCUGUUUAAGGCCCAUGGGAAAAUGCGAGGGCCAUUCUUCCUAGAGACAGCAACUAGAAUCUUAGGUUCUCAAGACAAUGGGAGGGCUUUUUACUUAUCGUUAUGUUUUGUAAGGUUUGUGGUGUGCAUUUGGCCAGAAGCUGUAGUGGUAGCAUUGUGUGCAGAAGGGGUGGGAGAGUGAAUAUUGUUUGUCCAUUGAUAAGUCCAUGCAUGGUUAAGUGGAUUUUUCUUGAACUUCCUUCCUUUUCUUAGUAGGGAAAACCUUCAGGCAUUAAGUGUCAAAAUGGAAAUC
rnacentral:lncRNA from 1 species